GCUGGGCAUGGUGGCGCAUGCCUGUAAUCCCAGCUACUCAGAAGGCUGAGACUGGAGGCUCACUUGAACCCGGGAGGCGGAGGUUGCAGUGAGCCGAGAUGGCGCCACUGCACUCCAGCCUGGGUGACAGAGUGAGACUCUGUCUCAA
rfam:Homo sapiens chromosome 12, GRCh38 reference primary assembly.